GUGUCAGCAGCCGCGGUAAUACGUAGGGGGCAAGCGUUGUCCGGAAUUAUUGGGCGUAAAGGGUGCGUAGGCGGUUUGCCAAGUCAGAUGUGAAAUAUCCGGGCUCAACUCGGAGGGUGCAUUUGAAACUGGCAGACUUGAGUGCAGGAGAGGAAAGUGGAAUUCCUAGUGUAGCGGUGAAAUGCGUAGAUAUUAGGAGGAACACCAGUGGCGAAGGCGGCUUUCUGGACUGUAACUGACGCUGAGGCACGAAAGCGUGGGGAGCAAACAGGAUUAGAUACCCUGGUAGUCCACGCUGUAAACGAUGGAUACUAGGUGUAGGGUCCGAUAGGAUUCUGUGCCGGAGCAAACGCAAUAAGUAUCCCGCCUGGGGAGUACGACCGCAAGGUUGAAACUCAAAGGAAUUGGCGG
rnacentral:rRNA from 1 species